UACAGAGGGUGCGAGCGUUAUUCGGAAUUACUGGGCGUAAAGCGUGCGCAGACGGUCACGUAAGUCGGGUGUGAAAGCCCCGGGCUCAACCUGGGAAUUGCAUUCGAGACUGCGUGGCUAGGGUGCGGAAGAGGGAAGCGGAAUUUCCGGUGUAGCGGUGAAAUGCGUAGAUAUCGGAAGGAACACCAGUGGCGAAAGCGGCUUCCUGGUCCAGCACCGACGUUCAGGCACGAAAGCGUGGGGAGCAAACAGG
rnacentral:rRNA from 1 species